GCUCGUACGUCUGCUCGACUCAGCUGCUCGGUGCGCGGUUAGGUCGACAGUAGCGCCCCCGGUGGCCCUCCUGCUUGCGUAGCUCGGCAAUAGAUGGCACCGCCGGCUAGUGGCAGUACAUGUGUAUGUGUGUCAGUACUAGCGCAGUAUAGUGAUGGCAGUAUUGAACUUUCGGUUGGCGUUUGUUUUUUUUUGAUUGUCGUCAUUGGCUUAAGAUAUCUUGGCAUAUUAUGUGUCGUGACCCUCAUUUAUUAUAUGUGGCGAUUUGGUAUACCUGUCUUUCGGUUUCUAUUGGCAUUUUUAUUCAUUGGCGAUUAGAGGUGAUGUAGUUGUGGUACGCUUAGUGAUGUUCAUUUCGGUUUCUGCGUUGAGUUGGACGUGUGGCGCGGCGUGCCCUGUUGCGCCCGGUUUUUGGUGCGAAUCAUCCGUGGCGCCUGCUUCUGUUGGUGGCGCCUGCUUCUGUUGGUGGCUCCGGUUGGUGCGGCGCUCGACGUACUGGUGGCGCCGUUGGUGAGGCGUUCGGCGCGCUGGUGGCGCCUGUCUGGUGUGGCGCCCGACGCCUCGACAGCGCCUGUUUGGUGUGGCGCGCCCGGUCACGUACUUUGGCGCCUGGUUUUGGUGGCGCUCGAGCACUGUGCUCACUUUGGCUGCCGUCUACAUCCUGCCGAGAGUCACUCCGAUGAAACCGUGCUCAUGCACAUGCGCUGUUACAAUACAGCGUGGUAAUCA